rnacentral:rRNA from 1 species
GGGAGGCAGCAGUGGGGAAUAUUGCACAAUGGGCGAAAGCCUGAUGCAGCCAUGCCGCGUGAAUGAUGAAGGCCUUAGGGUUGUAAAAUUCUUUCGCUAGGGAUGAUAAUGACAGUACCUAGUAAAGAAGCCCCGGCUAACUUCGUGCCAGCAGCCGCGGUAAUACGAAGGGGGCUAGCGUUGUUCGGAAUUACUGGGCGUAAAGGGCGUGUAGGCGGCGGAUUUAGUUAGGCGUGAAAGCCCCGGGCUCAACCUGGGAACUGCGCUUAAUACUGAUUUGCUAGAGUCCGGGAGGGGCGAGUGGAAUAUCAAGUGUAGAGGUGAAAUUCGUAGAUAUUGGAUGGAACACCAGUGGCGAAGGCGGCUCGCUGGACCGGAACUGACGCUGAGGCGCGAAAGCGUGGGGAGCAAACAGGAUUAGAUACCCUGGUAGUCC